CCCUGCUCCUCCCAUUCUCUGGGACGCAGGCAGCUCACUUCCCUUCCCUGGGCCUGAGAAAAGGGCAAGAUCACGUGGCCGUAUCACACUGCAUGGACAGUGGGGGUGAACGCUUGGGGUCCCUCAGAGACAGUGUGGGGCAGUGGUCAGCCAGCGGGCUCUGUGCCCGGGAGCCUGCUUUGCAGCGGCUUUGGACCAACUGCAUAACCCUGGGUGAGUUAUUUCACCUCCCUGAGCCUCUUCCUGUCUGCAAAUCAGGGCUAGUUAUGGGCGCCCGCCCCUUAAGGUUGUUGUGAGGAUUAAACAAGUUCUUGUAAGUAAAGGGCUUAGAGCUCAACUGUAAGGGCCUGGGAGGUGUGACUGCGAUUGCAGCAAGAGGUGAGCUGGUGUGUGCCCGGAGCCAGAACGGAGCACUGAGCCGUUACAAGGAGCUCCGGACACCCUCCAUCCCAGCACCUGCCUUCCAGCUUGGAGCUUCUGUGCUGUGUGCCUGUGCGUGUCUUGUAUGUAUACAUAUGUGUGUGUGUGUGUGUGUGUGUGUGCAGGUUGUCCGUGUGUGACUAUGUGGAUGUGUGUAUCUGUGUGUCUGUAUGUGAGCAGGUUUGUGCCUGUUCCUGUGUGUGUGUGUGCAUAUGUGUGCAUGUGUGCACACAUGCUUGGGGCAAGGGCUGCUAGAGUCUGAAUUCAGAGCUGCUGGGAGUGGCUCAGCCCAGGAGGUGGCUCAGCCAAACCAAACAACCCCUGCGUUUCGAGCUCCAGGCUUUUCUCUGACUGUUUGCUUUCUUUCUCUCCUUUCCGGUUCCCCUUUAACUGGUUCCUGCUUCCAGUGAGCACAGCUGGGAGGGAGGCCCUGGCAGGGUAGGUACAGGGCCCUUCCCUUCCCUCUCUCCACAAGGUUUCGCACCCUCUGGCCUCCACCCCUGGUCCCAGCCUCACUGCCAGGGCCACAGAGGCCCCUUUCCUCUCUGAGCCUGUUUCCUGGUUCCUGCUCCCUCAGGGCUACAGUGAAGACGCCAUGCUUCUGGAGGCGAGCACCCUGAAAAAGAUGCAAACAGACGUGGGGGAAGAGACUGUUAGGGCCCCUCGCUCUGUGCCUCAGCCUUUCUCUCUGGGAAACGGGGAGAGGCCGUGCAGGUGUGAGAAGACUGGCCUGGAUGGAGAGGAACGAAGGAGGGGCUCCAGCUAAAGGAUGAAUAAAUACAGCCCAUAUUCUGCUCAGCAAACAUGCAUACAGAGAGCUGACUUCUGGAGCAUUUCAAAACCCAAGGAGAAAGCUCCCAGUGACACCAGACACUUAAAAAUAAAUAUAUUUCUAAA